UACGUAGGGUGCGAGCGUUGUCCGGAAUUAUUGGGCGUAAAGAGCUCGUAGGCGGUUUGUCGCGUCUGCCGUGAAAGUCCGGGGCUCAACUCCGGAUCUGCGGUGGGUACGGGCAGACUAGAGUGAUGUAGGGGAGACUGGAAUUCCUGGUGUAGCGGUGAAAUGCGCAGAUAUCAGGAGGAACACCGAUGGCGAAGGCAGGUCUCUGGGCAUUAACUGACGCUGAGGAGCGAAAGCAUGGGGAGCAAACAGG
rnacentral:rRNA from 1 species